CGCGGCCGGCCCACAGGGCAGCCUCCUCCAAUCGGAGGGGAUGGGCGCUGCUGAUCGACAAACAAAGUCCGCCCAAUGGCAAGGAGAGGAAGUCGAGCAAACUCUCGGUGGCAGCUAAUCAGAGCGCUAGGGGCGGGGCGAAGGCUCCACCGGGCUGGGCGGCAGGCGAGUUGCUGGGUCUGGGAGAAGGGGCGGGGAUUCGCAGUCCCGGAAAGAUCAACAUUGUUAUAUACAAUUGGAGAGCUGUCUUGCUUUCUCGCUUAUAAGGGUACACUGAUUUCCAGGAUUUUCACUCAAUGAUUUCGCCCCUUAAGAUUAAGGGUCAAACUGGAUGAUACAGUUGGGAGGUAAUCAGAAGCAGAGACCCAUAAGUGGUUAAAAUGUCUGUUAAUCCUAUGAGAAACCUUUGUGCAUGAGGUAAAUUAGCUUGUUUUUGUUCCAUGACUGGUCAUCAGGAGGUAACAGAAAACAAGCAUUAUAGGAUGCUUUGGGCAUACAGUACCAGAUAAAAAGGGAGACAUCAUUAUGUAAAGGGGGAGCAGUGUUUCUAAGCUUGAAUCUUAAAAAUUAAUGCAUGUAUGAUUUUGGAACUAGUGUUGCAGUGGAAACUAGAAGCAACUCACUGGAAUUAAUAAUGGAACAGAGAUGGAAAACAUGAUGAUUUUGGAUUGCAACUGAGAGAAGUCUCUAGCCAGCACCUUGUGAGGAGAAAUUGGUAUAAGACCAAUCAAGAGCUCCCCUUGAUCUGGUGGCAUUGCUGUAAUGACUUUCAUUUUUCUAAGGUAGCACUGAUGACCCAGCAUUAAUUGAAAUGCUUAUGUCAGUGGAAGGUAUUUCUGCUACUAAAAGUCUAUUAUGUAUGUUGGAAUAGCAGAUUUAUGGUGACCUAUUCCCUAUGUGACUGAUUUAUAUUCCCCCUUUCUCCUGAAACUAGGACUCAAGGUACAUUUUAUAAUAUAUGGAAGUAACAAAAAAUAGUAUUAUCCUUUUCAUAAUGUAAAUGUAUCUGGACAGAAAAUAUGAAGCCACAGACUUACGUAUUUUGUUUGUUGAUAUUAUAUCUUACCUUUCUAUCAAUACCCAUAGCAUAACUUAGAAAAUUAAAUAUAGGUAAAAGUAUGGUAAGGUAAAACCAUAGUUUAAUUGAUUAUCAUAUUAAAACAAUAACAGAAUAAAAUGCACAUCAUGAGAAAAUGUCA
rnacentral:lncRNA from 1 species